CCAGCUGCACCCCUGUCUGUAAUCCAUGUGCCUAGCCAAGAGCUAAGCAAAGGAACACAGCUCAGCAUACUGACAGGUGCCUUGCAGGCACAAUGAUAAAAGGUACAACCCUAGUGCUAGAAUCUUACUGGACACCAGACUCACACAAAGUGCUUGGUUGUAUCACACAGAUGCAGAAAACCAAAGGAGAGAAAGCAGGGCAAGCUGGGCUGGGAGAGCCUAGUAGAGGAGAAGGCCAUGCAGGACGGGUGAGUGAGGGUACUCUGGGCCAGGGGCAUAGCCUGAACAAAGGUGAAGCCACCCACAGUCCUUUGGGAUCCAUGCCUCAAAGCUUUCCAAGAAACUUUCGCAAUCCUUGUUCUGCUAAAUUUCCGUACUUUGGCCCCAAUGGGUAAAAGUUAAGUCUCCUAAACAGAAGUCCUCCCUCUAAUCUAACCCUGGAUUAGCCACCAAAGACAACAACAAUCUUUUGGGACAAAGACAAUGAAUUACCAUUUAAUCCACUUUCCCCAAAGCUCCCAAAGGGAGAUGAAGGAGGGGAGGGUCAGGGAAAGUUUGGGGGAGGAGAGGGGGUUGCAGGAACAACCAGAACAUCUCACAUGCAAACACUGCUCACCCCCACCACCAGGCCAUUGGAUUCUCUUGCGGCACCACCAGCCCCAUUUGACAGAUGGAGGAAAUGAGGCUCGGAGAGUUCAAAUGGCUUGCUCCGGGGUCACCCAGCCAGAGAGUGGGGAAGGUGACUCCACUCAGGCCUUCUGACUCCAAGUCCAGUGCUAUUUCUAGGUAACACACAGGACCUGGAGUCAGGAGCCCUGGGUGGCUCUGUCACCCUCUGGCUGCAUGGUCCCAUACAAGCCGCUCACUCCUCGCAGCCUCUUUCUCCAGCUGUAAAAUAAGGAGGAGCACACUGGGCCCGCCCAGGUCCUCUUCCGGCUGGGCUCUCCGAGCCUUCUAGGGGCGGCUCAAAGCUCAUCCUAUCAAUUACAUUUCCCAAGUUGGGCCGGCAAAGAUCACCAGAAGAUCCUCGGCCUGUCAUGUGGUUAAAUAAAAAAAGCAAAUGUCCCAGAUUAACUUUCACUGCACUGCUCCUGCAAACACCUGAGUAUUCAAUUUUCUAGUUUCCUUAGUUGAAAUAUUUCUGCUAGCUAGGCUCGCUGGGCGGCUAAAGGGCAAAAUAAUUAAUUAUUGCUGAGCCAAACACUGAAGAUCGAGUUAAAAUCCGGGGUACAGUCCAAAGCGGACAGUUCUUGACAUGGGUCCCUGAACGAGUCUCCGGCUAUUUCAGGCCUCUCUCAUCCGCUUUUCAGCCAAGAGAUUCGGAGACGCCCCAGGGCAAUUUCGAGAUCUGGGGACAGAAUCUUCCCAGGAGUGACUCUGCCCCUCCUCCCGCACUCAGUGCCCGCUAGCCCCAAGCUGUCGGCUCUGGGGGUACUGAGGCUGGGACCUGCCUUCGGCGCAGACACCGGCGCGGGGCGUGUGACGGAGCCCGGCGACGACGGCGGGAGCUCCACCGCAGUUUCGUCAGAGAAAUGAGACGUUGCUUUGGAUGAGCAGGGUGGGGCUCAGCCUGUUCAGGGAAUGAAGAAGCCCGCCUGAGCUGAGGCUUGAAGGAUGCAUACUGGUGGAUUUCUGUCACUUGCCACUGAACAGCUUCUGACCCACACACACCGUGUGUCAUGGUGGUGACUCCAGAGCCUUUAGUGUCAUAGCCAAGAAAUAACUGCCAAAUCUAAUGUCACGAAGCUUAAUACUGAACCCAUUUUGGUGGCCGUCCACAACAUCCUCGUUGAGAGAAGGACUAUGGCUGAAUGACUAAUAACUACCCCCUCUAUCCAACACACACACACACACACACACACACACACACACACACAGAGAGACACACACAGCUCUUGGAAAUAGCCCACAGGAGGGAGAAUGUACUAUCUGGGCUGCCAAGAGCCCUGGGUUCUAGCCUGUCCCCUACGACCAGUGUACCACUUUGGGCAACCUUGGGGCAAAGCCCUUGACUAAUCCAGUUUCUGUUUCCCUCCACACCCUUCAAUCAACAGCUCAAGGAACGACAAAGCAAUCUUUAUGGCUGUCAUAUUGGCUGGAUUAUAGGACUACAAAUAAGGCCGUUUCUAAAUAAUUCCCAAACUGUUCAGAUAUGAAGGGUGUAAUGGGCAGAGACUGGCAUCGGCUGGGGAGCCGGACAAAGCAAGAUUGCCAGAGGCCUUGGUAACUGCUUAUGGUGGCUACACUGGCCUGGAACCAGUGCCAAGUCAAAUAUAUGUACAAAGAGGAGGCUCAAAUUCCCCUUCUCAGGCCAGCCCUGGCAGGCUUGCUGCCUCCACUGGAAAGAUAGAAAGCAAAGGCACAGAGAGGUUAAUGUAGCCACGUGAGCAUCUAUAGGGUAAUCAAGAAUUAACCCCAUUAGGGCAACACCCAAUUCCUAACUUCUUACAGGCUCUAAGUUACUGAAUUUCUGCCAAAUUGAGGUUUUCAUUACCUUCCACAGAAAAUGAUUCUCCAAAUGACAUCAUUAUUAUAAUAACAGGUGGGGCUCUCCCUCUCCCUCUCCCUCUCCCUCUCCCCACGGUCUCCCUCUCCCUCUCUUUCCAUGGUCUCCCCCUGAUGCCGAGCCAAAGCUGGACUGUACUGCUGCCAUCUUGG
rnacentral:lncRNA from 1 species